rnacentral:rRNA from 1 species
AUUGAACGCUGGCGGCAGGCCUAACACAUGCAAGUCGAAUGGUAACAGGAAACAGCUUGCUGUUUCGCUGACGAGUGGCGGACGGGUGAGUAAUGUCUGGGAAACUGCCUGAUGGAGGGGGAUAACUACUGGAAACGGUAGCUAAUACCGCAUAACGUCGCAAGACCAAAGAGGGGGACCUUCGGGCCUCUUGCCAUCAGAUGUGCCCAGAUGGGAUUAGCUAGUAGGUGGGGUAACGGCUCACCUAGGCGACGAUCCCUAGCUGGUCUGAGAGGAUGACCCAGCAAAACGGAACUGAGACACGGUCCAGACUCCUACGGGAGGCAGCAGUGGGGAAUAUUGCACAAUGGGCGCAAGCCUGAUGCAGCCAUGCCGCGUGUAUGAAGAAGGCCUUCGGGUUGUAAAGUACUUUCAGCGGGGAGGAAGGGAGUAAAGUUAAUACCUUUGCUCAUUGACGUUACCCGCAGAAGAAGUACCGGCUAACUCCGUG